ACAAUAUCACCUACAUAUUUCAUACAAAUGGUGAUAAAAAAGCAGCAAAAGAUACGUGAAGGAAGCUCAUAGGACCGGACCGAGCUGAUGAACGAGGACACCCAUGUUGGCGUGCUGCAUGGUCGUUGGUGCCGGGCACGGAGUGGAGAAGAGGUGAUCGCGUGGGCGGCUUUUCCUUUUGUUUGAUUGGAUAGAGAAUGAAGAAGAGAGGUGUUUGCGAGAAAUCGAUGGAGUUGGUGCUCAACAUUAUCAAACUCUUCUCGUUUUCUGCGGCACCCAUGAAAUCAAAAUCUCAGAUUAGCAGCAGAAGCUCACAAACUCCAGCAGCAGUAGCGGAUGAUGAGAAUUUCUCUGAUUACAUAAAAAGGUUCCACGCAAGGAACAACAAUACAUUCACAGAUCGGAAAGCCUCUGCAUUUAUUAACAAGUUCCACCAAAACAACUCUCGUCACUACACGCCGCCUCUUCUGCCUCCGCCUCCGCCUCGCGCCAACUGAUCGAUGCUUUUACAUUUUCUUCUUAGUUUAUGCUGUUGCUCAUUCACCUCUAUAUUUUCACUUCACUUUUUUUAAAAAAAAAAGAAAAGAAAAAAAGAUUGGCCUA